GACAGAGGAUGCAAGCGUUAUCCGGAAUGAUUGGGCGUAAAGCGUGUGUAGGCGGCCUUGCAAGUCAGUUGUGAAAAGCCCCGGGCUCAACCCGGGAAGUGCUUCUGAUACUGCUUGGCUUGAGUACUGGAGAGGAUAGUGGAAUUCCUGGUGUAGCGGUGGAAUGCGCAGAUAUCAGGAGGAACACCAAUGGCGAAGGCAGGUCUCUGGGCCGUAACUGACGCUGAGGAGCGAAAGCAUGGGGAGCGAACAGG
rnacentral:rRNA from 1 species